GAAACAGAGCCAAGCAGCUGCAGGAAUGGGCAUGGACAGGAAGAAAAGGGGGCUUGUGGAGAGGACUGGAUGACUCCGAUCUCACAUUCGCAGCUAGUAAAGAAGGUAGCCCAGUCUGGAGACACCGCCUGCCUCCAGCACACGCUGGACAUCUUCCGUCGUGAGGACCUGCAGCUGCUGCAAGACCACUGCCACACACGGGCAUUAAGCAUCCUUCGGGCACGGCCAGGUGGGUCGGACAGUGAGGCCCACACCAGGGAAGCCAUCGCCUACCUCUCUUUGGCCAUCUUUACUGCAGGUAGG
rnacentral:lncRNA from 1 species